rnacentral:rRNA from 1 species
GCACGAGUAGUAUUACUACUUGGUGGCGAGCGGCGGACGGCUGAGUAACGCGUGGGAACGUGCCCCAAAGUGAGGAAUAACUGCCCGAAAGGGUAGCUAAUGCCGCAUAUGAUCUUCGGAUUAAAGUAUUUAUUACGCUUUGGGAGCGGCCCGCGUCCGAUUAGGUAGUUGGUGAGGUAAAGGCUCACCAAGCCCACGAUCGGUAGCUGGUCUGAGAGGAUGACCAGCCAGACUGGAACUGAGACACGGUCCAGACUCCUACGGGAGGCAGCAGUGAGGAAUCUUCCACAAUGGACGAAAGUCUGAUGGAGCAACUCCGCGUGCAGGAUGAAGGCCUUCGGGUCGUAAACUGCUUUUAUGAGUGAAGAAUAUGACGGUAACUCAUGAAUAAGGGUCGGCUAACUACGUGCCAGCAGCCGCGGUCAUACGUAGGACCCAAGCGUUAUCCGGAGUGACUGGGCGUAAAGAGUUGCGUAGGUGGUUUGUAAAGUGAAUAGUGAAAUCUGGCGGCUCAACCGUACAGGCUAUUAUUCAAACUCACAAACUCGAGAAUGGUAGAGGUAACUGGAAUUUCUUGUGUAGGAGUGAAAUCCGUAGAUAUAAGAAGGAACACCAAUGGCGUAGGCAGGUUACUGGACCAUUUCUGACACUGAGGCACGAAAGCGUGGGGAGCGAACCGGAUUAGAUACCCGGGUAGUCCACGCCGUAAACGAUGGAUACUAGCUGUUGGAGGUAUCGACCCCUUCAGUAGCGAAGCUAACGCGUUAAGUAUCCCGCCUGUGGAGUACGGUCGCAAGACUAAAACAUAAAGGAAUUGACGGGGACCCGCACAAGCGGUGGAUCGUGUUCUUUAAUUCGAUGAUAAACGGAGAACCUUACCAGGGUUUGACAUCCUUUGGAAUUUCUGUGAAAGCAGAGAGUGCUUUAUUGAGCCAAGUGACAGGUGAUG